GACGUAGGGAGCGAGCGUUGUCCGGAUUCAUUGGGCGUAAAGGGUCCGUAGGCGGCUCAGCAAGUCGGGUGUGAAAUCUCCAGGCUCAACCUGGAGGGGCCACUCGAUACUGCUGUGGCUUGAGUCCAGUAGGGGAGCAUGGAAUUCCCGGUGUAGCGGUGAAAUGCGCAGAUAUCGGGAGGAACACCAGUGGCGAAGGCGGUGCUCUGGGCUGGAGCUGACGCUGAUGGACGAAAGCGUGGGUAGCAAACAGG
rnacentral:rRNA from 1 species